rnacentral:rRNA from 1 species
UACGAGGGGGGCGAGCGUUGUUCGGAAUUAUUGGGCGUAAAGGGCGCGUAGGCGGUCGGAUAAGUCUUGUGUGAAAUCUUCGGGCUCAACUCGAAGUCUGCACGAGAAACUGUCUGGCUUGAGUGUGGGAGAGGUGAGUGGAAUUCCUGGUGUAGCGGUGAAAUGCGUAGAUAUCAGGAGGAACACCUGUGGCGAAAGCGGCUCACUGGACCACAACUGACGCUGAGGCGCGAAAGCUAGGGGAGCAAACAGG